rnacentral:rRNA from 1 species
CACAUGCAGUCGAACGGUGAACUUGGGAGCUUGCUUCUGGGGGAUCAGUGGCGAACGGGUGAGUAACACGUGAGUAACCUGCCCUUGACUCUGGGAUAAGCACUGGAAACGGUGUCUAAUACCGGAUAUGAGGACCGACGGCAUCGUCUGGUUCUGGAAAGAAUUUUGGUCAAGGAUGGACUCGCGGCCUAUCAGCUUGUUGGUGAGGUAAUGGCUCACCAAGGCGACGACGGGUAGCCGGCCUGAGAGGGUGACCGGCCACACUGGGACUGAGACACGGCCCAGACUCCUACGGGAGGCAGCAGUGGGGAAUAUUGCACAAUGGGCGCAAGCCUGAUGCAGCAACGCCGCGUGAGGGACGACGGCCUUCGGGUUGUAAACCUCUUUUAGUAGGGAAGAAGCGAAAGUGACGGUACCUGCAGAAAAAGCACCGGCUAACUACGUGCCAGCAGCCGCGGUAAUACGUAGGGUGCAAGCGUUAUCCGGAAUUAUUGGGCGUAAAGAGCUCGUAGGCGGUUUGUCGCGUCUGCUGUGAAAACUGGAGGCUCAACCUCCAGCCUGCAGUGGGUACGGGCAGACUAGAGUGCGGUAGGGGAGAUUGGAAUUCCUGGUGUAGCGGUGGAAUGCGCAGAUAUCAGGAGGAACACCGAUGGCGAAGGCAGAUCUCUGGGCCGUAACUGACGCUGAGGAGCGAAAGCAUGGGGAGCGAACAGGAUUAGAUACCCUGGUAGUCCAUGCCGUAAACGUUGGGAACUAGAUGUAGGGACCAUUCCACGGUUUCUGUGUCGCAGCUAACGCAUUAAGUUCCCCGCCUGGGGAGUACGGCCGCAAGGCUAAAACUCAAAGGAAUUGACGGGGGCCCGCACAAGCGGCGGAGCAUGCGGAUUAAUUCGAUGCAACGCGAAGAACCUUACCAAGGCUUGACAUAUACCGGAAAAGUUCAGAAAUGUUCUCCCCGCAAGGUCGGUAUACAGGUGGUGCAUGGUUGUCGUCAGCUCGUGUCGUGAGAUGUUGGGUUAAGUCCCGCAACGAGCGCAACCCUCGUUCUAUGUUGCCAGCACGUUAUGGUGGGAACUCAUAGGAGACUGCCGGGGUCAACUCGGAGGAAGGUGGGGAUGACGUCAAAUCAUCAUGCCCCUUAUGUCUUGGGCUUCACGCAUGCUACAAUGGCCGAUACAAAGGGCUGCAAUACCGUGAGGUGGAGCGAAUCCCAAAAAGUCGGUCUCAGUUCGGAUUGAGGUCUGCAACUCGACCUCAUGAAGUCGGAGUCGCUAGUAAUCGCAGAUCAGCAACGCUGCGGUGAAUACGUUCCCGGGCCUUGUACACACCGCCCGUCAAGUCAUGAAAGUCGGUAACACCCGAAGCCAGUGGCCUAACCGCAAGGAAGGAGCUUCGAA